GAUUUGAUCGAGGAGCGCGGUUACCGGACGGGCUGGGUCUAUGGUCGCUCCGCGGGCCGCUCCGCCGGCUGGUGCUUUUUUAUCAGGGCAAGCUGUGUUCCAUGGCAGGGAACUUUUGGCAGAGCUCCCACUAUUUGCAAUGGAUUUUGGAUAAACAAGAUCUGUUGAAGGAGCGCCAAAAGGAUUUAAAGUUUCUCUCAGAGGAAGAAUAUUGGAAGUUACAAAUAUUUUUUACAAAUGUUAUCCAAGCAUUGGGUGAACAUCUUAAAUUAAGACAACAAGUUAUUGCCACUGCUACAGUAUAUUUCAAGAGAUUCUAUGCCAGGUAUUCUCUGAAAAGUAUAGAUCCUGUAUUAAUGGCUCCUACAUGUGUGUUUUUGGCAUCCAAAGUAGAGGAAUUUGGAGUAGUUUCAAAUACAAGAUUGAUUGCUGCUGCUACUUCUGUAUUAAAAACUAGAUUUUCAUAUGCCUUUCCAAAGGAAUUUCCUUAUAGGAUGAAUCAUAUAUUAGAAUGUGAAUUCUAUCUGUUAGAACUAAUGGCUAAUAAGAGGUUUCAGUGUGUUGCAGAUGUGACACUUU
rnacentral:sRNA from 1 species